ACCAGCGAUUUGUCGCUUGCGAGUUACUGAGAGGUCAGCGGGAGGUGAGGCCUUCGAGAGGUAUAAGGGAGGCUAUUUAUUCACUUUAAGUUAUAUGAUAUCGUCCACUGAACCCCCUUUCUUCCUCAAAAGGAUCAGAGUUAAUCUGAUCUUUCAAGGACCUUUGAAGCAGCAAAUUGAGGAAAUGUCUGAUUUUCAAGGUUUUGUCGUGCCCUAUUCACGACUGUCUUGGUGUGCUUUGACCAUGUUAUUUUGUUGGCGAUGUGGAAGCCAAGGAACUUGAAGCUCUCAACCUGCUCCACUACAGCCCCGUCGAUGAGAAUGGGGGCGUGCUCAGUCUUCUUUUUCCUGUAGUCCACAAUCAUCUCCUUUGUCUUGAUCACAUUGAGUGAGAGGUUGUUGUCCUGCCACCACAUGACCAGGUAUCUGACCACCUCCCUAUAGGCUGUCUUGUCGUUGUCGGUGAUCAGGCCUACCACUGUUGUGUCAUCUGCAAAGCUAAUGAUGGUGUUGGAGUCGUGCCUGGCCGUGCAGUCAUGAUUGUUUAGGGAGUACAGGAGGGGACUGAGCACGCACCCUUGAGGGGCCCAUGUGUUGAGGAUCAGCGUGGCGGAUGUGUUGUUACCUACCCUUAAUCUUUAUGUAAUUUAUCUUUGUUUCAUAGUGAAGUCUCUUCUUUUUAUUCAGUUUAGUCACAUGAUUUUUCAAUUUGUAGUAUGUUUGCCAAUGGGUUGUGCAGCCAGACUUAUUUGCCAUUCCUUUUGCCUCAUCCCUCUCAACCACACAAUUUUUCAAUUCCUCAUCAACCCACAGGUAUUUAACCAUUUUACAGUCAUUUUCUUAAUGGGUGCAUGCUUAUUAGUAACUGGGAUAAGAAAUUUCAUAAAUGUUUCAAGUGCAGCGUCUGUUUGCUCCUCAUUA
rnacentral:lncRNA from 1 species